rnacentral:sRNA from 1 species
GUUGGGUGUGGUGGUGCGUACCUGUAAUCCCAGCUACUUAGGAAGCCGAGAUAGGAGAAUUGCAAGUUUAAGGCCAGCCUGUGAAACUUAGUGAGACCCUGCCUCAA